rnacentral:siRNA from 1 species
UGCCUUUUGCUGAGAUGUUACAGG